UCACAAUGAUGAAUGUUUAUCCACCAUUCGCAGUUUCCUCCAGAAGGGGCUUUUUCCCUAAUGUUGGUCAGUCCUUCCUUGGAUGUCUGAGUGA